AAUGAACGCUGGCGGUAUGCCUAACACAUGCAAGUCGAACGGCAGCACAGUAAGAGCUUGCUCUUACGGGUGGCGGGUGACGGACGGGUGAGAAAUACAUCGGAAUCUACUUUUUCGUGGGUGAUAACGUAGGAAAACUUACGCUAAUACCUCAUACGACCUACGGGUUAAAUCAGGAGAUCUUCGGACCUUGCGCGAUUGAAUUAGCCGAUGUCGGAUUAGCUAGUUGGCGGGGUAAAGUCCCACCAAGGCGACGAUCCGUAGCUGGUCUGAGAGGAUGAUCAGCCACACUGGAACUGAGACACGGUCCAGACUCCUACGGGAGGCAGCAGUGGGGAAUAUUGGACAAUGGGCGAAAGCCUGAUGCAGCAAUACCGCGUGGGUGAAGAAGGACUUCGGGUUGUAAAGCCCUUUUGUUGGGAAAGAAAAGAAGCAGGUUAAUACCCCGCUGUUCUGACGGUACCUAAAGAAUAAGCACCGGCUAACUUCGUG
rnacentral:rRNA from 1 species